rnacentral:rRNA from 1 species
AACGCGAAGAACCUUACCAGGUCUUGACAUCCUCUGACAACCCUAGAGAUAGGGCUUCUCCUUCGGGAGCAGAGUGACAGGUGGUGCAUGGUUGUCGUCAGCUCGUGUCGUGAGAUGUUGGGUUAAGUCCCGCAACGAGCGCAACCCUUGACCUUAGUUGCCAUCAUUUAGUUGGGCACUCUAAGGUGACUGCCGGUGACAAACCGGAGGAAGGUGGGGAUGACGUCAAAUCAUCAUGCCCCUUAUGGCCUGGGCUACACACGUGCUACAAUGGACGGUACAAAGAGCUGCAAGACCGCGAGGUGGAGCUAAUCUCAUAAAACCGUUCUCAGUUCGGAUUGUAGGCUGCAACUCGCCUACAUGAAGCUGGAAUCGCUAGUAAUCGCGGAUCAGCAUGCCGCGGUGAAUACGUUCCCGGGCCUUGUACACACCG